rnacentral:tRNA from 1 species
GUGAGAGACGCUCAUCGGUUAAGAGCACCGGCUGCUCUUCCAGAGGACCUGGGUUCAAUUCCCAGCACCCACA